rnacentral:lncRNA from 1 species
AGUUGUCACCCUCCUAAAGCACUAUAAUUAAAUCUAGAUUGCUAUUCCCAUCUGAGUAUUUAUCUGAUUUACCAGCAUUAUGUCCACAUUCCAGCUUACAGAGAACGAAAAGAAAGAAAGUGGAAACACUUCCUGAGCACAUAAAUAUUCAUGAGUGCAAAUCAAAUGUUGCAGUUAUCAUCCAAAUUAAAAGAUGCAACACCCCUUCAGAAGAAAAUAUGCUGUAAAAAUAUACUUUUUAAAG